AAGACCUUGCGCUUUUGGAGCGGCCGAUGCCUGAUUAGCUUGUUGGUAAGGUAAAAGCUUACCAAGGCUUCGAUCAGUAGCUGGUCUGAGAGGACGACCAGCCACACUGGGACUGAGACACGGCCCAGACUCCUACGGGAGGCAGCAGUGGGGAAUUUUGGACAAUGGGCGCAAGCCUGAUCCAGCCAUGCCGCGUGAGUGAAGAAGGCCUUCGGGUUGUAAAGCUCUUUCAGCCGGGAAGAAAAGGUUGCGACUAAUAAUCGCAAUCCAUGACGGUACCGAAAGAAGAAGCACCGGCUAACUACGUGCCAGCAGCCGCGGUAAUACGUAGGGUGCGAGCGUUAAUCGGAAUUACUGGGCGUAAAGGGUGCGCAGGCGGUUUUGUAAGUCAGAUGUGAAAGCCCCGGGCUCAACCUGGGAACU
rnacentral:rRNA from 1 species